GAUGAACGCUAGCGAUAGGCCUAACACAUGCAAGUCGAGGGGCAGCACAUGAGUAGCAAUACGAUGGUGGCGACCGGCGCACGGGUGAGUAACACGUAUGCAACCUACCUUUAACAGGGGAAUAACCCGUUGAAAAACGGACUAAUACUCCAUAACACAGGGGUCCCGCAUGGGAAUAUUUGUUAAAGAUUUAUCGGUUGAAGAUGGGCAUGCGUUCCAUUAGCUUGUUGGUGAGGUAACGGCUCACCAAGGCUACGAUGGAUAGGGGAACUGAGAGGUUUAUCCCCCACACUGGAACUGAGACACGGUCCAG
rnacentral:rRNA from 1 species